rnacentral:tRNA from 1 species
AGAACGGUGGUGUAGUGGAAGCACGUUCCCCUCCCAGGGGCGCAGCGCUGGUUCGAGUCCAGCCCGUUCUCCCC